rnacentral:rRNA from 1 species
CCUACGGGAGGCAGCAGUGGGGAAUAUUGGACAAUGGGGGAAACCCUGAUCCAGCGACGCCGCGUGUGUGAAGAAGGCCUGCGGGUUGUAAAGCACUUUUAGUGGGGAUGUAAAGUUCAGGGUUAAUACCUCUGGAUCUUGACCUAACCCACAGAAGAAGCACCGGCUAACUACGUGCCAGCAGCCGCGGUAAUACGUAGGGUGCGAGCGUUAAUCGGAAUUACUGGGCGCAAAGCGUGCGCAGGCGGUCUCGUAAGACAGGUGUGAAAUCCCCGGGCUCAACCUGGGAACUGCGCUUGUGACUGCGAGGCUGGAGUGUGGCAGAGGGAGGUGGAAUUCCACGUGUAGCAGUGAAAUGCGUAGAGAUGUGGAGGAACACCGAUGGCGGAGGCAGCCUCCUGGGCCAGCACUGACGCUCAUGCGCGAAAGCGUGGGGAGCAAACAGGAUUAGAUACCCUGGUAGUCCACGCCCUAAACGAUGACGACUAGUUGUUGGGGUAGAAGUACCUUAGUAACGCAGCUAACGCGUGAAGUCGUCCGCCUGGGGAGUACGGUCGCAAGAUUAAAACUCAAAGGAAUUGACGG